GUGGGGAAUAUUGGACAAUGGGGGGAACCCUGAUCCAGUCAUGCCGCGUGUGUGAAGAAGGCCUUUUGGUUGUAAAGCACUUUAAGCGAGGAGGAGGCUACCGAGAUUAAUACUCUUGGAUAGUGGACGUUACUCGCAGAAUAAGCACCGGCUAACUCUGUGCCAGCAGCCGCGGUAAUACAGAGGGUGCAAGCGUUAAUCGGAUUUACUGGGCGUAAAGCGCGCGUAGGUGGCCAAUUAAGUCAAAUGUGAAAUCCCCGAGCUUAACUUGGGAAUUGCAUUCGAUACUGGUUGGCUAGAGUAUGGGAGAGGAUGGUAGAAUUCCAGGUGUAGCGGUGAAAUGCGUAGAGAUCUGGAGGAAUACCGAUGGCGAAGGCAGCCAUCUGGCCUAAUACUGACACUGAGGUGCGAAAGCAUGGGGAGCAAACAGGAUUAGAAACCCCAGUAGUCC
rnacentral:rRNA from 1 species